CGGCGGACGGGUGAGUAACGCGUGGGUAACCUGCCUCAUACAGGGGGAUAACAGUUAGAAAUGGCUGCUAAUACCGUAUAAGACCACAGUACUGCAUGGUACAGUGGUAAAAACUCCGGUGGUAUGAGAUGGACCCGCGUCUGAUUAGGUAGUUGGUGAGGUAACGGCCCACCAAGCCGACGAUCAGUAGCCGACCUGAGAGGGUGACCGGCCACAUUGGGACUGAGACACGGCCCAG
rnacentral:rRNA from 1 species